UGCUCUCUGCAGCUAAAAGACAUAAAAGUGUUCGUAAAAACUCCCGGAGGAUUUAUUCCGCCUUCCAGCAGCAGCAGCCCGGUUUCUCUGACGAUGAAGAUAAAGAGGAUGAGCGAGUGGACAGCAACGAUCCUGAGGAGAUGUUUCAGAACAUUCAGUACCAGAAAGAGAUCAUUGCCAAUAUUCGAACCAGGCCCUGGCCGAUGAGACGCAAGCUCAAAGUCUUAAAACAUGCUAGAGAGAUUGUGCUGAAGUACGAGGGCCAGCUGACCAGAACCAGAGGAUACCAGACUGCUGGAGCAGAU